UGUGUACUGCACACACAUGGUUGUAAUGAGGAAUAAAGUUCCUUGAAUCCUUGAAAAAUGGGUCCCAGGAGGGUCUUAGCAUAUUGUAAAGUUGGGCUUGCCAUAAUACCCACGGGCAAUCCUAUUUGGGACCCAUUUUUCAGCUUAUUUCCUAGCCACUAAGGAGGCCCGAGACACGAGCAGGUGUUUGGUGGUCGAUGCCCGCACCGUUGCGUCACAGUGUGAAUGCAGUUGGCUCCUCCUUCAGUCAAUGAACGCGGUGUUGUGUCGAGAAGGGUCCAGCUGCAGUCUAACAAAGUACACUCAGUUAUACAACACAUUCUUCCCAAACCCUAGCACUGAUGUCUAAACCUUACAAUUCUGAGGGUGUACGAAGAGAUGUGCUGUGCUGCAACUACUGCACAGCGGCUCUGUCAUAGACGCCAUGUCUGCUUCUUUGACAGGGUGGUAGUAGGAAGAGGACAUCAUUCUGAAUUCCUCUGCGUCCAGGUUGUCCCCCCAAGUAGCACUUCGUUGAUGAGCAGAAUUACUGGAUCACAGCAAAGCUUCGUCCAUCUUUUAGGAUGAUAUGAUAAUGAGAGUUUAGAUGAUUAGAUAGCUGAGGGCAGACAUGCUACAAGAGCAGUGACUCCACUAACGCUCCCGCCUUAGCGCGCGACUAUGGACAUCUUCUACGUAUGUUUAAAGCACUGCGCAGAUUGAAAGCUGACACAACAUAACUGUAUUUUAAUACAAACCUUCCUUAUCAGGCAAGUAUAUCAAAUGAGUAAACUGGGCAACAAUAAAGAGAGAAAUCAGUCCAUUAUUCAACAACUACUUGUGUUACCUUGAUAAUGUUUUAUUUCUUAAGCGCCAUACCCGUGUCUCGUUUCUGCGUUUUCAGUCGUAAGUACAAAUGGAACUUUACGCUGGCGCUUACCAUUGGACUGCAGUAUUUCUGAUUUUUGUGCACAGCGGUCACUUGUUUUUAUUCUUGCAGUAUUAUAAUAAGACUGGAAGCUUGACAUUCAUCUGACCAUGCAAAUGUAACAGAACGCAGACAAUUUAAAAAUGUUUUAUUCCAGAAUGAAUAAACAGAACAACCCCCAA